GGCAGCAGUGGGGAAUCUUCCNCAAUGGGCGAAAGCCUGACGGAGCAACGCCGCGUGAGGGAAGAAGGCCUUCGGGUGGAAACCUCUGUCUUCAAGGAAGAAGUAAUGACGGUACUUGGGCUAACUACGUGCCAGCNCCGCCUAAAACGUAGGGGGCGAGCGUUGGGCGUAAAGGGCGCGUAGGUGGUACAAAGUCAGAGGUGAAAGAUGGGGCUCAACCGAGAUU
rnacentral:rRNA from 1 species